GUCAUUUCUCUGUUUUAUGUAAUAUCCCACCCUCUCAAUUCGUCUAGGUAAGCGGUGCAGGAAUGCAACCUUCCAGCUGUCUCCGGUGCCUGGAUAAACGCAGCCCAGGUGCCACGUUGAGCUCAGCCUGUGCUUUCGUGACUAUGCUGCUAGAAGGGGGCGUGGCCUUGGGCACUCAGCCAGAUGUUCGACCUAGUGACUUGGGAUCAGGCCUUUGUGAACGGGGCUUGGCGCCGGCACGUAGGUAAGUAGGUAGGGUGCCAGAGAGACCGGGCAGGGGUGUGUCACAGGGUAUACAGGAGCACGACCAGGUUUCAUCUCUGUGGGAAGGAAGCCUUUUCUGUUCAAGCAGGCAUUUUAAGGUCCAGAGGACCCUUAGACCUCCAGUGUUUAUCAGGACACAAACCAGCUGGCCAUGUGACAUGCGCAGCUGCUUCAAGCUAAGUGCAAGACGUUCCACCCGGGAGUCUCCUCUUAUCCAAUCAGGCGCCGCUUUCCUCUGUCACUCAAGCACACAGACAACAAGGUGACCAAUCACUUGUGGUUUAAUAUUUAUUACUUACGAAAUAGCUUGUAACAAAAGUGAAAACUACGUCCGUUUUAAUUGGUUAGAAAACAAAAACAAGAAAAUAGGAGGAAAACAGAGGCAGCACCUGAAUUGAAGGACAUUGGUGAAGGUCAUGCUGUUAGCCGAAGCGCGCCGACAGGGGCCUCCCUCUCUCCCUCCCUCCAUGACUGGCUCUAAUUCUCACACCAGAGCAUCCAGCCCGUCUACAUUAACUCACUUUGUACACAUAUACGCUUAAAAAGAAAGCAAUCAUAAGCUACCAAGGCGAUGGUAACAAAGUUUAAAACAAGAUAGUUCUAUAAACCCCUGCCUUGAAUAAGGCUUUCUGUU